rnacentral:rRNA from 1 species
GUGUCAGCCGCCGCGGUAAGACGGAAGGUGCAAGCGUUGCUCGGAAUCACUGGGCGUAAAGGGUGCGUAGGCGGCUUCUUAAGUCUGGUGUGAAAGCCCAGGGCUCAGCUCUGGAAGUGCACUAGAAACUGGGAAGCUUGAGUACCGGAGGGGAGAGUGGAAUUCCUGGUGUAGCGGUGAAAUGCGUAGAUAUCAGGAGGAAUACCGGUGGCGAAAGCGACUCUCUGGACGGUUACUGACGCUGAGGCACGAAAGCGUGGGGAGCAAACAGGAUUAGAUACCCUAGUAGUCC